rnacentral:rRNA from 1 species
AACGUAGGUACCGAGCGUCAAUCGGAAUUACUGGGCGUAAAGCGUGCGCAGGCGGUUUUGUAAGACAGAUGUGAAAUCCCCGGGCUUAACCUGGGAACUGCAUUUGUGACUGCAAGGCUAGAGUACGGCAGAGGGGGGUAGAAUUCCACGUGUAGCAGUGAAAUGCGUAGAUAUGCGGAGGAACACCGAUGGCGAAGGCAAUCCCCUGGACCUGUACUGACGCUCAUGCACGAAAGCGUGGGGAGCAAACAGG